rnacentral:rRNA from 1 species
CGCCCGCCGGCGACCGGCGCACGGGUGAGUAACACGUAUGCAACCUGGCCGCCACAGGGGGAUAACCCGCGGAAACGCGGCCUAAUACCCCGUGACGCCACCGGAGGGCAUCCUCCGGUGGCCAAAGGAGCGAUCCGGUGGCGGAUGGGCAUGCGGCGCAUUAGCUAGACGGCGGGGUGACGGCCCACCGUGGCGACGAUGCGUAGGGGUUCUGAGAGGAAGGCCCCCCACACUGGGACUGAGACACGGCCCAAACUCCUACGGAAGGCAGCAG